AGAGAUAGAGGCGUGCUCGAAAGAGAGCCGUAACACAGGUGCUGCAUGGCUGUCGUCAGCUCGUGUCGUGAGAUGUUGGGUUAAGUCCCGCAACGAGCGCAACCCUUGUCAUUAGUUGCUACAUUCAGUUGGGCACUCUAAUGAGACUGCCGGUGACAAGCCGGAGGAAGGUGGGGAUGACGUCAAGUCCUCAUGGCCCUUAUAGGUGGGGCUACACACGUCAUACAAUGGCUGGUACAAAGGGUUGCCAACCCGCGAGGGGGAGCUAAUCCCAUAAAGCCAGUCGUAGUCCGGAUCGUAGUCUGCAACUCGACUACGUGAAGUCGGAAUCGUUAGUAAUCGUGGAUCAGAAUGUCACGGUGAAUACGUUCCCGGGUCUU
rnacentral:rRNA from 1 species